rnacentral:rRNA from 1 species
UACGUAGGGUGCAAGCGUUGUCCGGAAUUAUUGGGCGUAAAGAGCUCGUAGGCGGUUUGUCGCGUCUGCUGUGAAAUCCCAGGGCUUAACCCUGGGCCUGCAGUGGGUACGGGCAAACUAGAGUGCGGUAGGGGAGAUCGGAAUUCCUGGUGUAGCGGUGAAAUGCGCAGAUAUCGGGAGGAACACCGGUGGCGAAGGCGGUUCUCUGGGCCUGUACUGACGCUGAGGAGCGAAAGCGUGGGGAGCGAACAGG